rnacentral:rRNA from 1 species
UACGUAGGGUGCAAGCGUUACUCGGAAUUACUGGGCGUAAAGCGUGCGUAGGUGGUUCGUUAAGUCCGAUGUGAAAGCCCUGGGCUCAACCUGGGAAUGGCAUGGGAUACUGGCGGGCUAGAGUGCGGUAGAGGGUGGCGGAAUUCCCGGUGUAGCAGUGAAAUGCGUAGAUAUCGGGAGGAACAUCUGUGGCGAAGGCGGCCACCUGGACCAGCACUGACACUGAGGCACGAAAGCGUGGGGAGCAAACAGG